UACCUUUUGUAUAAUGGGUCAGCGACUUAUAUUCUGUAGCAAGGUUAACCGAAUAGGGGAGCCGGAGGGAAACCGAGUCUUAAUUGGGCGUUAAGUUGCAGGGUAUAGACCCGAAACCCGGUGAUCUAGCCAUGGGCAGGUUGAAGGUUGGGUAACACUAACUGGAGGACCGAACCGACUAAUGUUGAAAAAUUAGCGGAUGACCUGUGGCUGGGGGUGAAAGGCCAAUCAAACCGGGAGAUAGCUGGUUCUCCCCGAAAGCUAUUUAGGUAGCGCCUCGUGAAUUCAUCUCCGGGGGUAGAGCACUGUUUCGGCUAGGGGGCCAUCCCGGCUUACCAACCCGAUGCAAACUGCGAAUACCGGAGAAUGUUAUCACGGGAGACACACGGCGGGUGCUAACGUCCGUCGUGAAGAGGGAAACAACCCAGACCGCCAGCUAAGGUCCCAAAGUCAUGGUUAAGUGGGAAACGAUGUGGGAAGGCCCAGACAGCCAGGAUGUUGGCUUAGAAGCAGCCAUCAUUUAAAGAAAGCGUAAUAGCUCACUGGUCGAGUCGGCCUGCGCGGAAGAUGUAACGGGGCUAAACCAUGCACCGAAGCUGCGGCAGCGACACUGUGUGUUGUUGGGUAGGGGAGCGUUCUGUAAGCCUGUGAAGGUGUGUCGUGAGGCAUGCUGGAGGUAUCAGAAGUGCGAAUGCUGACAUAAGUAACGAUAAAGCGGGUGAAAAGCCCGCUCGCCGGAAGACCAAGGGUUCCUGUCCAACGUUAAUCGGGGCAGGGUGAGUCGACCCCUAAGGCGAGGCCGAAAGGCGUAGUCGAUGGGAAACGGGUUAAUAUUCCCGUACUUGGUGUUACUGCGAAGGGGGGACGGAGAAGGCUAUGUUGGCCGGGCGACGGUUGUCCCGGUUUAAGCGUGUAGGUGUGUGUUCCAGGUAAAUCCGGUUCACUUUAACACUGAGGCGUGACGACGAGGCACUACGGUGCUGAAGCAACAAAUGCCCUGCUUCCAGGAAAAGCCUCUAAGCAUCAGGUAACAUCAAAUCGUACCCCAAACCGACACAGGUGGUCAGGUAGAGAAUACCAAGGCGCUUGAGAGAACUCGGGUGAAGGAACUAGGCAAAAUGGUGCCGUAACUUCGGGAGAAGGCACGCUGACACGUAGGUGAAGUGAUUUACUCAUGGAGCUGAAGUCAGUCGAAGAUACCAGCUGGCUGCAACUGUUUAUUAAAAACACAGCACUGUGCAAACACGAAAGUGGACGUAUACGGUGUGACGCCUGCCCGGUGCCGGAAGGUUAAUUGAUGGGGUCAGCGCAAGCGAAGCUCCUGAUCGAAGCCCCGGUAAACGGCGGCCGUAACUAUAACGGUCCUAAGGUAGCGAAAUUCCUUGUCGGGUAAGUUCCGACCUGCACGAAUGGCGUAAUGAUGGCCAGGCUGUCUCCACCCGAGACUCAGUGAAAUUGAACUCGCUGUGAAGAUGCAGUGUACCCGCGGCAAGACGGAAAGACCCCGUGAACCUUUACUAUAGCUUGACACUGAACAUUGAGCCUUGAUGUGUAGGAUAGGUGGGAGGCUUUGAAGCGUGGACGCCAGUCUGCGUGGAGCCG
rnacentral:rRNA from 1 species